ACGGCUGUAGCUCAGGGGUAGAGCGCUCCGCUCAUAACGGAAGGGUCGUGGGUUCGAUUCCCGCCAGCCGUA
rnacentral:tRNA from 1 species